rnacentral:tRNA from 1 species
GGGGUUGUGGCUCAGUGGUAGAGUGCUGCCUCACAUGCAUGAGGCACUGGGUUCAAUCCUCAGCACCUCA